UGGACUAAAUGACAAUUUAUUUUGAAGAGCUAUAAAUUAGAAAAAAUAUUUUAAAAUUUCCUACUGUUAUUAUAAUAAAAAUUGUUUACAAGAGUGUCCCAGUAUGUCCCAAACAAACAUACUACCUGUCCCACAUUUCGUUUGUUGGGUGGUGGUCACCCUAACACUGUUAUUCAUCACAUAUUCAAAGCAUUGCUUUCAGAACUUAAACUCAGUCGUAUAUUUUCUAUUUUUCACUUUUUAUAACUGUUGAUUAUUUUUAUUUUACAUUCUUUGAGGGGCUUUAAUCUGAUGUUUUUCAUUUUAUCAUUAUUGCAUUUAAAAAAAGUCUAUCCUAAACUGAUUUAACAAAUCUGACAUGUUCUUAAAUCAAUCCAUGAAUCAAUAAAGUUAUUAUGCAAAGUGUCUAAAAUCAAUAGUCAAAUAAUUUAAGUAAAUAAAAACCCAAUGGAGCCCCAUCCAUUUAUUUAACAGUUUGGAAACUUGCAUGUUUAGUCUCUUGUGGUGCAGAGAGAGUCUUUUGUAUUACUGCUGGGGUUGAGCUGUGCAUGACUGUCACACGCUAUACAGAACGUUUUAAAUGAAAGCUCAUGAAGAGAUUAAGUAUGACAGUUCAAAGAUUCGGACUUGACCUUAUGUAAACAGUGCUAAGGAAUUAUGCAAUGGGGUUUGUGAAGCCCUGCAGCUCUGAUGAUAAAGCUGACCAUGCUUAAAACCUGAAUCUGUUAGAAUGUGCUAGAACUGAAACAUUCAUGAAUUUGAUGUUUCAUCCAUUCACAAAAUGUUUAAAAUGCUAGACUGACUGUUUUAUUAAAGGGGUCAUAUCAUCUUUUGAGAUAAAUGAAUUUAUAGUAUGAUGGAAGCAAGCAUCCUUUCAAAAUGAUUAAAGCUGAGCUGCAAAAACAAUAUAAUCAUAUUAAGAUUCAUAAUGCAUAAUAUGAACCCUUUCAAAUAAACUCAUUAAAGCUCAUGGUCAUCUCAAGUUAUGAUCACUGUUGUUGACAGUUUUGUUUUUGAAUUCCCAGAUCGUACCGGCUACGGCACACAAUAUCCCUAUUAAUCAUCUGAGGGCCAGAUUUGGAAUAUCAUUUCAUGCAGAGUGGAUUAAAUGAAAUAAUCUUUCCCCCCCAACCUCCGGGAUGGAGAGAAGCUGACGGAUGGAAGCCUCGUUCUCACAGUGGUCUCCAUGGCAACGGGAAUAACAGAAAACAGAUUGGGAAUGACGCAAGGGGAGCGGAUUUGGACUGUCGCAGGGAGCCCGGAAUGUGAGGCCUGAGUCUCAGAGGAAAAACCACAUGGCUGUUAUUACAGGAAAGUUAUGAUUCAGUUUCAGGUUGGGAGGAUUGCACAAAAAGCAGAAUCUUCCGUGCUGUAAUGCGAAAGAUGCGCAGCACCAACUUAAUUAAACUGAACAUUUUAAAGGAUGGAAUAAAUGCAUUAUUUUAUAAAUUAAGAUUUUGUAACAAAUUGAUUAAAGCACAGGUCGGCAUAAGAAGG